rnacentral:rRNA from 1 species
UACGGAGGGAGCUAGCGUUGUUCGGAAUUACUGGGCGUAAAGCGCACGUAGGCGGCGAUUCAAGUCAGAGGUGAAAGCCCGGGGCUCAACCCCGGAACUGCCUUUGAAACUAGAUUGCUAGAAUCCUGGAGAGGUUAGUGGAAUUCCGAGUGUAGAGGUGAAAUUCGUAGAUAUUCGGAAGAACACCAGUGGCGAAGGCGACUGACUGGACAGGUAUUGACGCUGAGACGCGAAAGCGUGGGGAGCAAACAGG